UACAGAGGGUGCGAGCGUUGUUCGGAAUUAUUGGGCGUAAAGCGCACGUAGGCGGACUCUUAAGUCGGUGGUGAAAUCCUGGAGCUCAACUCCAGAACUGCCUUUGAUACUGAUAGUCUUGAGUAUGGGAGAGGUGAGUGGAACUGCGAGUGUAGAGGUGAAAUUCGUAGAUAUUCGCAAGAACACCAGUGGCGAAGGCGGCUCACUGGCCCAUUACUGACGCUGAGGCACGAAAGCGUGGGGAGCAAACAGG
rnacentral:rRNA from 1 species